rnacentral:rRNA from 1 species
ACCGUGUUCGCCGAAAGUCUAAGGUUUCCGACGGCAGGUCAAUCCGCGUCGGGUUAGUCGGUCCUUAGCCGAGGCCGAAAGGCGUAGGCGAUGGACAUCCGGUCAACAUUCCGGAACCAUCCAAGGUGAGCGAAGGGGGGACGCAGCGAGGUAAGCCAGCCCACGAAUGGUAGAGUGGGUGUAAGUGUGUAGGCGUAGAGGUCCGUAGGAAAAACCGCGGGCUGAGCCGAGGCACGAGUGCGAGCCCCUGAGGCAGAAGUGGUUGAACCUUGCUGCCGAGAAAAGCCUCUAAGCGAUGAAGCUUGGGUGACCGUACCGCAAACCGACACAGGUAGACGGGUAGAGAAUACCAAGGCGAACGGGAGAACCUUCGUUAAGGAACUAGGCAAAUUAGCCCCGUAACUUCGGGAUAAGGGGUGCCUCCUGAUGUGAAACUAGAACAGGUGAAGCGUUAGGAGGUCGCAGUGAACAGGCUCUGGUGACUGGUUACCAAAACCACAGGUCUCUGCAAAGCCGAAAGGCGAUGUAUAGGGGCUGACACCUGCCCAGUGCCGGAAGGUUAAAGGGAAGGGUUAGCUAAGGCUUAGGCCAAAAGCAAAGCUCAGAACCG